CAGGACGUGGGGAAGCCUGGUAUCCCGCGUGCCCUGGGAGCACGAGAACGCUGGUUCGACUCCAGCCGUCCUGA
rnacentral:tRNA from 1 species